rnacentral:tRNA from 1 species
CUCCUCGAUGGCCGAGGGGUGCGGGCGGCGGCGCUCCUGUCGGCGUCCGGCCGCGCGGCCUCCGUCACGGGGCUCCUUCCCCCGCGGGGGGA